rnacentral:rRNA from 1 species
UACGAGGGGGGCGAGCGUUGUUCGGAAUCAUUGGGCGUAAAGCGCGUGUAGGCGGUUAGAUAAGUCAAUUGUGAAAUCCCUGGGCUCAACCGAGGAAGUGCAGUCGAAACUAUCUGGCUAGAAGGUGGUAGAGGGAGGUGGAAUUCCAAGUGUAGAGGUGAAAUUCGUAGAUAUCUGGAGGAAUACCGGCGGCGAAGGCGGCCUCCUGGACCAUUCUUGACGCUGAGACGCGAAAGCGUGGGUAGCAAACAGG